CUCCCAGCUGACCGCUGGUCUGGAUAAUGGAUGUCCUGCCGUCUGGACACGAGGAUAGUUCUUCCUGCCUCCAGAGGUCGGUGUCACACAAGCCAAGAGAGGAGAGAGCUUCAAGUGGUCAGCUGUGUACAGUAACUAAGCCAAGUUCGUUCAUUUUCACCAUCUGAAGUGCAAUACUUUCUUCAACACCAUGACCAUGCCCCUGCUACCCAGAAGGAAGGACACUGAACUGACAUUUAAAUUCAACUCCAGCUCGGCCACUUA